UUAAGGUAGAAGAGAUGUCUUUCAUUAAGCUCUAGUUUCUUUUUUUAAUUGGUCUGAUGUAAUUAUAAUCUUAAACAUGUUUUGAUUGGCUAUAAGCUUCUCUGUUGAAGAAAACACAACAAAGAAGAGAAAAUCUGAGUUAUGUGUUUGCAAUUUUUAAUAGAUUUAUUUAUAGCAUUUUAUGAAUGAAUGUUGUUGGAUUUUGUUUUCUUGAUUCUUGGCUGUUUUUCUUUAGUGUUGUCCAGAUCCGGGGCCACAGGUUGGUCACCUCUGGUCUAAACCUGCAUAUCACUGUUCAGAGAAACUGUCUGUCCAUGGGGGCAAACCUUGCAUCAGUUCAGGACUUGAACGAGUACAAUCAGAUUCAGAUUAUAGUAACUGCAGCAGGUCACGGGGCCAAACAAGCAUGGAUUGGAGGCACUAAUGCACAGGAGGAGAGCAUUUGGUUGUGGAGCGAUGGAAGCCGUUUCGACUACACACACUGGUGUUCUGGACAGAAUAAUAAAGAUGGAGGCAACCAGCGCUGUUUACAGAUAAACUAUUCAGGUAUAAGAAAAUAUCAACCCACUCUGUGUUUUUGGUUGGAAAGAUGACUGUCAAGUUAAAACAGCAAAUGGUGUAGUUGUGUGAGUGCAAUACCAUCUCCACCCAGCUGGCACGUGGCUCACAGAAAAUCAAGCACACCCGUCUCUCUCACUCAGGCCUUCAGGAGCCUAUAAGGCAACCCAGCACACCUGUGUUUGGGAUAAUCUCUACAAACAAAGACCUCAUCUUUAAGCUCCUGCAGAAACACCACUGGUAGGAACUGAACUUUAAACCUGUAUUCGGAGGACCUAGCUGGCUUAAGGAGCGAGGGGUGAAAUAGUUUUUCCACCGCACCAAAUAAAGUUUAAUUUUACAUUUUUUGGAAAGUCAA